UACGUAGGGGGCAAGCGUUGUCCGGAAUUAUUGGGCGUAAAGCGCGCGCAGGCGGUCCUUUAAGUCUGAUGUGAAAUCCCGUGGCUUAACCACGGGCGGUCAUUGGAAACUGGGGGACUUGAGUGCAGAAGAGAAGAGCGGAAUUCCACGUGUAGCGGUGAAAUGCGUAGAGAUGUGGAGGAACACCGGUGGCGAAGGCGGCGCUUUGGUCUGUAACUGACGCUGAGGCGCGAAAGCGUGGGGAGCGAACAGG
rnacentral:rRNA from 1 species